rnacentral:lncRNA from 1 species
UGUUGAGGGUGGGGGUGGGAUGUGUUGAAAAGUCAGUUUCUCUCCUGGGAGCAGGAGCCAUCACCGCGGCAGCGCCUCUGUGUGGUCAAGGAGCAACCAACCGUGGGUGGUGGCACAUGCCUUUAAUCCCAGCACCCAGGAGACAGAGGAAGUCGGAUCUCUGUGACUCUGGAGCCAGCCUGGUCUACAAAGCUACACAGAAAAACAGUCUCGAAAAAUUAAAAAAAAAAAAAAUUAAAGUCAAGGAACCACAGGAGGGCUGCAUGGAUCAUACCCAGAACUUCAAUAAAGUCCUUAGCCUACACGGUCCUUUCCUUUUCUCCCACCCAAUUGUCUGGCCUCCAGACACUCGGUUCACCCCAAGGACCUAUACAAAAGUCUGUUUUCACGUUAUGUCCUAAUCAUUUUGCAAAGUAUUUCCCAACAUAAAGAUCUGAAAUUCCGACUGACCCAGACUCCAGGGAAGCAUUAGAGAAGCUACAGGAACUAAGCCCAGAGGUACCAAGAGGAGCUUGGGCAGAGAAGCUCCUGGAGGAUGCACUAUCUAUACUCAGCACACCUCAAUCAGCAUAACUGCUUAUGAGAAUUCUGAAUAUGAAUGCUUGACUGCAUGGAAAACAUAAAGUGAUGAUUUCAAAUUGCUUAUCUGAAUGAUAGAGCAGAUGAAUGAGUGGUGACAAAAGGGUGAAGUGGUAACAACUAGCCCGCAGUGAAGGGGUAAAUAAGGGUCCAUAUGCCAAUCAAUUAGGUCACAAUUAAAGAUCAAGCUAAUCAGAGCCAGAAUCCAAAACCAGAGUGCUCGAGUGUAUCCGUGUCUGUGUGUGUGUGUGUGUGUGUGUGUGUGUGUACAUGAGUGUUCAUAAGUGCUUGGGAUACCAUGCCCCUCAGCAGUCACCCAUCUUGUUUUUAAGACAGGGUAUCUCAGUG